UACUCGAGUGGCAAACGGGUGAGUAACACGUGGGUGAUCUGCCCUGCACUUCGGGAUAAGCUUGGGAAACUGGGUCUAAUACCGGAUAGGAACCAUCUUUAGUGUGGUGGUUGGAAAGUUUUUUCGGUGUAGGAUGAGCUCGCGGCCUAUCAGCUUGUUGGUGGGGUAAUGGCCUACCAAGGCGGCGACGGGUAGCCGGCCUGAGAGGGUGUACGGCCACAUUGGGACUGAGAUACGGCCCAG
rnacentral:rRNA from 1 species